CAAGCGGAGGAGCAUGUGGUUUAAUUCGAUGAUACGCGAGGAACCUUACCUGGGCUUGAAUGUGAGUGACGGAUGCCGAAAGGUGUCUUUUCCGCAAGGAACACAAAACAAGGUGCUGCAUGGCUGUCGUCAGCUCGUGCCGUGAGGUGUUGGGUUAAGUCCCGCAACGAGCGCAGCCCCUAUUUUUAGUUGCCAUCAGGUUAAGCUGGGGACUCUAAAAAGACUGCCUACGUAAGUAGUGAGGAAGGUGGGGACGACGUCAAGUCAUCAUGCCCCUUACGUCCAGGGCUACACACGUGCUACAAUGGAUGGUACAAUGAGUCGCGACAUGGCAACAUGAAGCUAAUCUCAAAAAGCCAUUCUCAGUUCGGAUUGAGGUCUGCAACUCGACCUCAUGAAGUUGGAUUCGCUAGUAAUCGGAUAUCAGCAACGAUCCGGUGAAUACGUUCCCGGGCCUUGUACACACCGCCCGUCAAGCCAUGGAAAGUGGGAGUGCCUGAAGU
rnacentral:rRNA from 1 species